UACAGAGGGGGCAAGCGUUAUUCGGAAUUAUUGGGCGUAAAGAGCUCGUAGGCGGUUUGUCGCGUCUGCUGUGAAAACUGGAGGCUCAACCUCCAGCCUGCAGUGGGUACGGGGCAGACUAGAGUGCGGUAGGGGAGAUUGGAAUUCCUGGUGUAGCGGUGGAAUGCGCAGAUAGUCAGGAGGAACACCGAUGGCGAAGGCAGAUCUCUGGGCCGUAACUGACGCUGAGGAGCGAAAGCAUGGGGAGCGAACAGG
rnacentral:rRNA from 1 species